AGUAAGAUUGCUGGGUCACAUGGUAAGCGUGUUUUACUUUGUAAGAAACUAUGUGAUUGUUUUCCAAAGUAGUUGUGUGAUUUUACAGUCUCACCAACAAU
rnacentral:pre_miRNA from 1 species